UACGUAGGGCGCGAGCGUUGUCCGGAUUUAUUGGGCGUAAAGAGCUCGUAGGCGGUUCGUCGCGUCGGCUGUGAAAACCUGAGGCUCAACCUCAGGCCUGCAGUCGAUACGGGCGGACUUGAGUACUGCAGGGGAGACUGGAAUUCCUGGUGUAGCGGUGAAAUGCGCAGAUAUCAGGAGGAACACCGGUGGCGAAGGCGGGUCUCUGGGCAGUAACUGACGCUGAGGAGCGAAAGCGUGGGGAGCGAACAGG
rnacentral:rRNA from 1 species